UACGAAGGGGGCUAGCGUUGUUCGGAAUUACUGGGCGUAAAGGGCGCGUAGGCGGUUUGAUUAGUCAGAUGUGAAAUUCCCGGGCUUAACCUGGGGGCUGCAUUUGAUACUGUCAGGCUUGAAUUCGGGAGAGGAUAGUGGAAUUCCCAGUGUAGAGGUGAAAUUCGUAGAUAUUGGGAAGAACACCAGUGGCGAAGGCGACUAUCUGGACCGACAUUGACGCUGAGGCGCGAAAGCGUGGGGAG
rnacentral:rRNA from 1 species